CACUCCCCUUUCACUUUGCCAACUGGACUUAUGUCUUUAUUGGUCAUUCAAGUGGGGCAAAGGAAAUACCCUUUUAAAACUCAAGUAAACGGGGUGUGUCUCGUAACCUGUCAGAGGAAACAAAC
rnacentral:snoRNA from 1 species